rnacentral:rRNA from 1 species
UACGGGAGGCAGCAGUGGGGAAUAUUGGACAAUGGGCGAAAGCCUGAUCCAGCAAUGCCGCGUGAGUGAUGAAGGCCUUAGGGUUGUAAAGCUCUUUUACCAGGGAUGAUAAUGACAGUACCUGGAGAAUAAGCUCCGGCUAACUCCGUGCCAGCAGCCGCGGUAAUACGGAGGGAGCUAGCGUUGUUCGGAAUUACUGGGCGUAAAGCGUACGUAGGCGGUUAUUCAAGUCAGAGGUGAAAGCCUGGAGCUCAACUCCAGAACUGCCUUUGAAACUAGAUAGCUAGAAUCUUGGAGAGGUGAGUGGAAUUCCGAGUGUAGAGGUGAAAUUCGUAGAUAUUCGGAAGAACACCAGUGGCGAAGGCGACUCACUGGACAAGUAUUGACGCUGAGGUACGAAAGCGUGGGGAGCAAACAGGAUUAGAUACCCUGGUAGUCCACCCCGUAAACGAUGAUAACUAGCUGUUCGGGCUUUACGAGCUUGAGUGGCGCAGCUAACGCAU